rnacentral:snoRNA from 1 species
GUGCACAUUUCAUUGUCUUUUUUCUUUAUGUUGAGAGAAAAGAUAUUUCUGAUGUGCUAAACAUUAACCUUUGGAGGUUAAUUAGCAGCAUGACUAAUUUAGCCGUUGCUGUCAGUCACCUUCAGACAAAC